CCCUUAGAUGUCCUGGGCCGCACGCGCGCUACACUGAUGAAUUCAACGAGCUCCUAACCUAGGCCGAAGGGUCCGGGUAAUCUUUGAAAUUUCAUCGUGAUGGGGAUAGAUUAUUGCAAUUAUUAAUCUUCAACGAGGAAUUCCUAGUAAGCGCGAGUCAUCAGCUCGCGUUGAUUACGUCCCUGCCCUUUGUACACACCGCCCGUCGCUCCUACCGAUUGAAUGGUCCGGUGAAAUGUUCGGACCGCGACAAGGCGGACGGUUCGCUGUCAGCUUUGCUGCGGGAAGUUCAUUAAACCUUAUCAUUUAGAGGAAGGAGAAGUCGUAACA
rnacentral:rRNA from 1 species